CACGUAGGGCGCAAGCGUUGUCCGGAAUUAUUGGGCGUAAAGAGCUCGUAGGCGGUCUGUUGCGUCCGCUGUGAAAACUCGGGGCUUAACCCCGAGCCUGCAGUGGAUACGGGCAGACUAGAGGUAGGUAGGGGAGAAUGGAAUUCCCGGUGUAGCGGUGAAAUGCGCAGAUAUCGGGAGGAGCACCGGUGGCGAAGGCGGUUCUCUGGGCCUUACCUGACGCUGAGGAGCGAAAGCGUGGGGAGCGAACGGG
rnacentral:rRNA from 1 species